AUGGGGCCGGCGCCGCGGGAGGUGGUGGUGAUCAGCAGCUCCGACGAGGAGGAGGAGGUGCUCUCCGGUAGGUCGGCUCGCUCGCCCGUCCCCCUGGGAUGGGCCGCGAAGCUCGGGGACUCGGCGGUGCCAGCACCGCGGAGGCAUAAAGGUAGGUCCCGUGCCGUUCGCGCCGGCAACGACGGCGACUGCGAGGGUGAUGACUGCGUAGUUCUGGACGGCGACCCGGAUAAGCCGGUUGCGGUUGCGGGUGCGAAGGGGAGGAGUAGGGGGGAUGGCCUGCCGGGCGAGGUGGAGAUCGUUGCGGUGAAAGGCGAGAUAGCAUGCAAGGACUUCCCUCACUUGCGCCAUUCAUGUUCCGAGUUGCCCUUCAGCACCACUUCUCACACAAAGCAUUGCAGCAUGUGCUACUGUUUUGUAUGUGAUGCUCCAGCUCCAUGCAAGUACUGGGGCAAAGGGCUCUUGAAUGAUGAUCAUUGCCAUGCCACUGACAAGGAAACAAAGUGGAAAAUACUGAGGCAGGCAUUUAAGUGCAAAAGUGUGCCAGCAUCUUAUCCGGAGGAACGCCUGAAUGUUGUGUACCAAACAACGCCAUCCCCAAGACAGCAGGAAUAUUACGAGGAAUACACACCAGAGGGGUACUCCGAGACGGACGAGGAGGCCACGGUGUGCAUUGGGAACCUACCGUAUGACAUUGACGAGAAGGACCUUGUCCUGCUCUUCAAGGAUGUCGGCAUUGUCGUGUUCUCUGAGAUCAUUUAUGACAGGGAAACAGGCGAGAGCCGUGGAUAUGGGUUUGUCACCAUGAGUACUGCUGAGGAGGCCAAGAAGGCUGUGGAGAUGUACAAUCGCCGUGAGAUGGACGGCAGGCCCCUGACUGUGUACAAGACAGCUGCUACCAGAGGUGCCCGGACAGAAGAAACACCGUCCCCCCAUCCCAGUCGACCAGUAUCUUCUUCGUUCAAGAUCUAUGUGGACAAUCUUCCCUGGAAAGUGAGCAACUCUAACCUAAAGCAGCUGUUCAGUGACUAUGGUGAAGUGGUCGGUGCUAAAGUUGUUUACCACCGCGGAAGAGAAGCCGGGCGCUCCCCGUUCGGUUUCGUCGCGAUGGCGACGCGGCAGGAAUCGGAGAAUGCCAUUUGGCACCUUAACAAGCAGGUUUGGUGGGGCCGCAAACUGCGAGUGCGAGUCGCAAGAGAGGAAGAGAGGAAGGUGAAAGUGGUCUAG
rnacentral:rRNA from 1 species